rnacentral:rRNA from 1 species
CACGUAGGGCGCAAGCGUUGUCCGGAAUUAUUGGGCGUAAAGAGCUCGUAGGCGGUCUGUUGCGUCCGCUGUGAAAACCCGGGGCUUAACCCUGGGCUGGCAGUGGAUACGGACGGACUAGAGGUAGGAGGGGAGAAUGGAAUUCCCGGUGUAGCGGUGAAAUGCGCAGAUAUCAGGAAGAACACCCGUGGCUAAGGCGGUUCUCUAGUACGGUACUGACGCUGAGACGCGAAAGCGUGGGGAGCGAACAGG